UACGUAGGGUGCGAGCGUUGUCCGGAAUUAUUGGGCGUAAAGAGCUUGUAGGUGGUUUGUCGCGUCUGCUGUGAAAAUCCGAGGCUCAACCUCGGACUUGCAGUGGGUACGGGCAGACUAGAGUGUGGUAGGGGAGACUGGAAUUCCUGGUGUAGCGGUGGAAUGCGCAGAUAUCAGGAGGAACACCGAUGGCGAAGGCAGGUCUCUGGGCC
rnacentral:rRNA from 1 species